rnacentral:rRNA from 1 species
GAUGAACGCUGGCGGCGUGCCUAAUACAUGCAAGUCGAGCGAACAGACGAGGAUCUUGCUCCUCUGACGUUAGCGGCGGACGGGUGAGUAACACGUGGAUAACCUACCUAUAAGACUGGGAUAACUUCGGGAAACCGGAGCUAAUACCGGAUAAUAUAUUGAACCGCAUGGUUCAAUAGUGAAAGACGGUUUUGCUGUCACUUAUAGAUGGAUCCGCGCCGCAUUAGCUAGUUGGUACGGUAACGGCUUACCAAGGCAACGAUGCGUAGCCGACCUGAGAGGGUGAUCAGCCACACUGGAACUGAGACACGGUCCAGACUCCUACGGGAGGCAGCAGUAGGGAAUCUUCGGCAAUGGGCGAAAGCCUGACGGAGCAACGCCGCGUGUGUGAUGAAGGUCUUCGGAUCGUAAAGCUCUGUUAUUAGGGAAGAACAAAUGUGUGAGUAACUAUGCACGUCUUGACGGUACCUAAUCAGAAAGCCACGGCUAACUACGUG